GUAGGGGCCAAACGUUUGUCCGGAUUUAUUGGGCGUAAAGGGCUCGUAGGCGGUUCAACAAGUCGGUCGUGAAAUGCCGGGGCUCAACCCCCGGAACGCCGGCCGAAACUGUUGUGACUAGGGUCCGGUAGAGGUGAGUGGAAUUCUCGGUGUAGCGGUGGAAUGCGCAGAUAUCGAGAGGAACACCAGUUGCGAAGGCGGCUCACUGGGCCGGUACCGACGCUGAGGAGCGAAAGCAUGGGGAGCAAACAGGAUUAGAUACCCUGGUAGUCCAUGCCGUAAACUGUGAACACUAGGUGUGGCGGAUCUAUUGAUGUCUGCCGUACCGUAGCUAACGCGUUAAGUGUUCCGCCUGGGGAGUACGGCCGCAAGGCUA
rnacentral:rRNA from 1 species